UACGUAGGGUGCAAGCGUUGUCCGGAAUUAUUGGGCGUAAAGAGCGUGUAGGCGGCCAUACAGGUCAGCUGUGAAAACUCGAGGCUCAACCUCGAGACGUCGGUUGAAACCGUAUGGCUAGAGUCCGGAAGAGGAGAGUGGAAUUCCCGGUGUAGCGGUGAAAUGCGCAGAUAUCGGGAAGAACACCCGUGGCGAAGGCGGCUCUCUGGGACGGCACUGACGCUGAGACGCGAAAGCGUGGGGAGCGAACAGG
rnacentral:rRNA from 1 species